UGGGGAAUCUUCCGCAAUGGACGAAAGUCUGACGGAGCAACGCCGCGUGAGUGAUGACGGCCUUCGGGUUGUAAAGCUCUGUUAAUCGGGACGAAAGGCCUUCUUGCGAACAGUUAGAAGGAUUGACGGUACCGGAAUAGAAAGCCACGGCUAACUACGUGCCAGCAGCCGCGGUAAUACGUAGGUGGCAAGCGUUGUCCGGAAUUAUUGGGCGUAAAGCGCGCGCAGGCGGAUCAGUCAGUCUGUCUUAAAAGUUCGGGGCUUAACCCCGUGAUGGGAUGGAAACUGCUGAUCUAGAGUAUCGGAGAGGAAAGUGGAAUUCCUAGUGUAGCGGUGAAAUGCGUAGAUAUUAGGAAGAACACCAGUGGCGAAGGCGACUUUCUGGACGAACACUGACGCUGAGGCGCGAAAGCCAGGGGAGCGAACGGGAUUAGAUACCCCGGUAGUCCUGGCCGUAAACGAUGGGUACUAGGUGUAGGAGGUAUCGACCCCUUCUGUGCCGGAGUUAACGCAAUAAGUACCCCGCCUGGGGAGUACGACCGCAAGGUUG
rnacentral:rRNA from 1 species